AGUGGACGGGACCGGGACUGCAAACAGCCCCCAGAGCCUAACUCCCGGGAGUCCAGGACCAGGAGAAGAGAAGCCAUAAAGCUAAAGAAAGAACCAAGACAGGCAGAGGCCCCUAAAACCUCAUUCUGAUGAGUAACGAGAUGGAUGCCUUGGAGCUGGAGAGCCACCACACACCUCAGUCAGCCGGUUGUGGAAAGGCAGGGGUCUCUGAUGAAGUGCCUGCCUUUUGUGUGCCUUUGCCAGUCCAAAUGGUCCAGAUACUGGCACCCCAGUGACUGCAGCAGGGCUUGUGGAAUGCAGAUAGCCUUGGAGGAUGACCUUGAGCAGCUCUCGUCUUAGAAUAACCAGCUUUGGACUGCACCAUCUUAGCACGGGCGGCAGAAGUGUGUCUGGCUGACUGGCUGACAGGCACAACAAGGCAACUGGUAGACUGGCAGCAGUGUGAGGAUGAAUGUGGUCAUCCUGAGAGAGGGAAGAUUCAUGCUCCAUGGAAUGACUGUGACUCCUUUAGGAUUGGAUUGGAAGCUAGUAAAUGUAAAACUGCUAUUCAAUAGAGGGGAGAGAAAGAAAGCAAAUAGCAAUGUGAUAAUAACUGGAUAACCAGUGUUUUGAGAUGUUAAUUGAUACUACAGUAAAAACGAUAAGGAGGCCACAAAGAACUUGCAAAGAGAUAUAGGUAGGUUAAGUGAAUGUGUAUGAAAGUGGAAGAUGUGUGAAAUGUGAGGUUACUCACUUAGUAGGAAGAAUAGAAGAACGUAAUUUUUCCGGCAGAUGUAGCAUCUUGCACUUGAACUAUAAAUGUUGGCAUUCAGAGGUGUUUGGGUGAACUUUCACAAGAAUCCAGAAAGUUAACAUGUAGGUAUGGCAAGGAAUUAGGAAGACAAAUGAUAUGUUGGCAUUUCAUACAAGAGGGCUGAGUGCAAUUCUUGCUGCAACUGUUCAGGGCUUCGGUGAGACCACACCUGAGUACAAUGUAUAAUUUUGGCACCAUACCUGGGGAAGGAUAUACUUGACUUAGAAGAAAAUACAAAGAGGUUCACUAAAUUGAUCCCUGGGAAGAGAGGGUUGCCUUAUGGGGACCGAUUGAGUAGAAUUGAACCUAUGCUCUGUAAUUUGGAAGAAUGAGAGAUAGCCUGAUUGAAACAUACAAAAUUCAGAGAGGGCUUGGCAGAGUAGUUACUGAGAGGGCAUUAUCCCUGGGUAAAGAGCAUAGAAUUAGGUGGCAUGGUGAAGGAUAAAGGAACCGUCAGGAGAAAUUUCUUUACUCAGAGGGUCUUUAACCUUUGAAAUUCUCUACCCCAGAGGGCUAUGGGUGCUCAGUCUUUGUGCAUAUCCAAGGCUGAGAUUGAUAGGUGUUUGGACUCAAAGGCAAUGAAAAUAAGUGGGAAUCAUGGGAAAGCAGAGUUAAGGGUCAAGGAUUAACAGGAUUGAGGGAUCACACUGUCUACUCAUUAUUAUUUCUUAUGUUCUUACAUAAUCCAAUUAACCUGUUGGCGGAUAGAUUGCUGGAUCCCUGUGACAUCCUGCAAGUCCCUUUGAAUACAGGUAUCGGCAGCCAUGAUGGCAGCAGUCUGAGCUUCCAUGGCAGAAAACUAACAUUGCGUGAGAGCAUUCUGAGCUUUCACUAAAACAGCUAGAUUUUGGGUGGCUAUUACUCCUGCUGCAAUGGAAACCAAGACAUCAAUGAUCAGAUGCUGCAUCUUGGAAAGGUCUGCAAGUGGAGAGAGCCAUCAUUUCCAUGCUGAAAAGAAUGGGCUCCAAGUUCUGCUUAAAGUCCUGUGCCAAAUUGAUGUCAGAUUCCCCAUGUGCUCCUUUUUUAAUUAAUUCAUGGGCUUUGAGCAUCUCUGGCAAAGUCAGCAUUGAUUGCCCAUCCCUAAUUGCCUUUAAGAAAGUGAUGGUGAGCUGCCCUCUUGAACAAUUGCGGUCCAUGUGGAGUGGCUACACCAACAGUGAUGUUAGUGGAUUUGGGACUUGCAGGAUUGUGAACCAGUGAUUCUGAAGGAACAGUGAUAUAGUUCCAAGUCAGAGUGGUGUGUGACUUGGAGGGAGACUUGCAGGUGAUGGUGUUCCUAUCUGCCUGCUGUGUUUGUUCUUCUAGGCGGCAGAGGUCGCAGUUUUCACAUUAAUCGCAAGCUUUCUGGCAAGCCCACUAAUGCAUUUCAAUUGUGCAUGCUCACCAGUCUUCUUCUGUCCAAGUGCUCAUCAACUUGUGUGCAACCUCACCCUCCAGCGAGCUGGCAUCUAUGCAACAUUUGCCUCCUGUCCUAAUUGCAGGCCACUCAUGCCCAGGGUCUCACAACAUGCAGAUCCUGCAAAAAAAAAACCCUUAAAGUGAAAUUUGUGUCAGUAUCUUUGCAGCUGACUGUGAGUGACAGUUUUUGUCUCUGUCACCAUUGUCCUGCUCUUCCUCCCCUUGCUCUUCCUGCACUGCCUGACCAGGUUGCAGUUCUGGAAAGGAAGGUAGGAUUGUAUUAAGGGGAGGGGGAGAAAGCAAGUGGCACAUGCUUACAAGAUAUGCAGUUUAUAAACUGAAUAGAGUGUGGAAUGUGAGAAGGAGGAUUAAAUGUGAACAUAUUGUCAUCUUUGAUGCUUUCAACACUGUUGCUGAGCACAGUCCCAACUAUAGUAGCUCCAGUAAUAAUGAGAACCAUCUUGGGAUAAGGAUAUGCAACCAUUUUCUGGGGCCAAAUGGCCUGUUUCUGUGCUGCAUGUUCUAUGUAAGUCUCUUUCAUUUUAUCCUUGCAAAUAUUUUGCAUAUCACCAAUUUUGAUCCCUUAUAUCAAAGAAGGUGAAUCAUACAGCAGGGCAUGGUGUCAUAGAUGGCAUUCUUUCAACCUAUGAAAAUAUUUCACAUUUUAAAAUUUAUAAUUGGACCCUACACUUAUGAAGACCCUGAAUGAGCUCUUAAAAGAAGGGUUAACUGAUAGGAGUGGGAAGAGUCAAAACUCAGAUAAUACUUGCCCAUAAUUCUAGCAAUGCCUUUUUCUUACUCUGUAGAGUUACAUUCAGCUUAAUUGUUGUGAGCAGGACUAAGCCCAAAAAUUGUAUGCUCUGCUGCAGACUGACAAGAGGUUAAUGAAAUAUGCCAGUCAGUGACUGACUGAAAAGACAUUACUUGAAGAGUUUGUGCUAAAAUGUAACACUGACUGACUUGAUUGUGGAGCAUCAGACAUUGAACCUGACAGAUCCUGGAAAUAAUGGAAUUGAGAGGAUGCAAUCAUUUAGAACAGCCUGAAUCUCAAAUGAUUUUAAAUGAAUGAGGUCUUCUAUACUAUAAUUGCCAGCUUGUUAUCCAGAAAUUUAAAUUUUCCUAUAAAACAAUGUCAAAUUAACACAACUAAGAAAGAGCUUGCAAAUCCCCUUUUAAUGUGACAUAUGUUGUGGCAUGCAUGGAGAUGGAAGGUAUUCCAAGAAUGAUGGAGCUAAUUAAUUUAUUAUAGGAGAAGUGAGUUUUGUAGACUGAAUUCAGAAAUUAAAUAAAUUAUAUAAAACGACAACUGCAUGAUACA